rnacentral:tRNA from 1 species
GGGGGUAAAGCUCAGUGGAGAGUAUUUGACUGCAGAUCAAGAGGUCUCUGGUUCAAGUCCAGAUGCCCCCU